rnacentral:rRNA from 1 species
UUGAAAGGGAAACGAUUGAAGUCAGUCAUACCAACGGGAAAUCAACCUUUUGAGCUCGGUCUCGUGGGUUUUGAAGAGUUUCAGAGCCUUCGGAUUCGCGGGAUUGGGAUCUCUUGGCGUACUUUUUCGUACGGUUAGUCAACAUCGGUUUUGAAUGUCAUAAAAUGACUGGAGGAAUGUAGCUUCGAUCUCGUAUUGAAGUGUUAUAGCCUUUGGUAGAUGUGAUGUUUGAGACCGAGGAUUGCAACGGAUACCCUUCAGGGCUAUUCGUCUGAUCUCUGAUACGUUGCCUUGAUGUUGAAAGCUUGCUUAUGAUGUUAGGGUAUUACGGUCAAAAGGUUAGAACGAAUUACAUUCGUUAAGGAUGUUGACGUA